GGCAUAUUUCGUUAGCUUCGCUCCUGUUCUUCGUUCUUCACUGCGCUUUCCUCUUCAUUGGUUGUCACUGUGACUGUGAUUUCUUUUUCUUCUUCUUCACAUUGUUCCAAACUUUCUUUUCCAUUAUUGGUGGCUCUUCGUGUUGCGUUUUGGGUCGACGAGAAACGCUCCAAGUUUCAACCAUGGCUGCAAUUCUAACUUCUAGAUCUUCUCUCGUGUGCCUUCACCUUUACUCAUUUUUAUUCUACCUCAUCACCGGUUUUUCCUCAUGGGUUUUCAUAAAAGCUUCCAAAUUUUAGGUGAAGUAAUUAACUUGCUUUGGUUUACUCGUUGAAAACCAAACUAGUGGGUCGUUCUAUGUUUGGUUGAUUGAGCAAUAGCUUCUCUGGUUCGUUAUGAUGACAUGAAAUAACAUCAUCCAAUUUCUUACCCAGGGGUCGGUGUAAAUCACCAUGGUCACAAAGGAGAAGAAAACACGCUCUGUCAUCUCAUCAAUGGAAAUCCUUGUUUACAUAAGAUGGUAUGACUUAGGCAGCACCAAGGGUGAAAGAGAUGUUAUAAGAACUCAAAAUAGAAAGCAGUAUGAGAAACUCCGUAGACAAUGUCGGAGACUCAUCAAGCAAAGUAAUGUUGAGGUUCGUUCAUGGACAAGUCGAGGUUUGUGAGCUUCGUCAAGAUUCCUAGAGAAGGAGGAUUGGGGCCUACAAGGUUGCACACUGCUAGCUAGAAGAAGAACCUAGCUCUGCCCCCAACUGAGAUGAUGAAGAAGCAAUGUGACAGAUACUUAAGAAGAAGACGUGGCCUCGCCGUUUGCCAGAUCAAUAAAAAGUUGACGCCGUCCAUUUUUAAGGAUUAAUAUUACAUGUUUCAAUACUAUGAGGACUAAAAGCCAUCAAAGUUUUGAGUAGGAACUAAAACCAAAAUCAGUGAUACUUAAGGGAUGAAAAACAUAUUUAACCCUAUAAAAAUUAAGCAUUUAUCUUAGUUUUAUUUUAUUUGAAAACAAUGUGGCUUAUGUAUGAAUUCCCUUUUUAGUUCUUAUGUUGUUUUCCCGGCAA